rnacentral:tRNA from 1 species
GGAGAUACAGCUCAGUGAUAGAGCAUGUGCUUGGAGUGCAUAAAGUCCUGGGUUCAAUCCCCAGUGCCUCCA